CAUGCUCGUGUCAAACUCCGCC
rnacentral:siRNA from 1 species